AAUAAACAUACUUACCCAGCUAAUGACGUCACACGUUGUGCUGAAUCAGCAAUUUAUAUUUUCACAUUUUUGCGUAUAACUUCGGAACUAGAUGAGAUAGAAUAGAGCAUUAAACGGCCAAUCGGCUUAUUUUUUCAUGCUCUUUCAGAUGAAGCAAUAAGAUAGAUGAAGCAAUUUUUGUUGCCAAUCUCCUUUAAGGAAUGCAGUAAUACUAAAAAAUGCAUUAACAUGUAAGUAAACACAGCAACGCGUGUCAAUCAGUCGCAAGUUACAUCGAAUUUCAGUCCGAAUUUUACUUGAACGAAUUUCGAAGUGAAUUUCUGCAAAUUAUCCGACAAAACCUGCCGCGUGUUUGUGUUCGCAAGUGGCACAAGAAGCCGCCAAGUGUUCUGCCACGCCGGAGCUAUUUGAAAACAGAGUAGAAAAGUCACAAUAAGCCAUCGCUAAUUCACUCUACGCUGGAGUGAAAUCGUUUGAAAACUUUCACGUCACUUAACUAUCACACGGAGCGUAUAAUUAGUUAACUAUCACACGGAGCGCUUGAUAGAUAGCUUCGUGUGAACACAAACGUGUAAACUCGAAUGCUUUUCAGUUAAAUUUCUUGGGUCUAUUUGAAAUAUUUUGGGUUUACACGAGUGCUAAUUCAAUUUGUAAACAAACUGUAAUGGCUUAGUCUGAACACACGUAAAUUUUGCCCGGAUUAGUUCGCUUGCGCGUAGUGUGAACGUAGUCUAAUUUUUGGUGACGCUUUCAAACGGCAAGGUAGCCUUUAGAAAAAUUUAGAAAUAGUGGAUGUCCGGAAGUUCGAAAAUUUCCCGCCAUUUUCAUUGUUGUUGUUUUGAAAAUACAAAUAGUCUUUCGUUAUAUAAAACGAAAUUAACUUUCGAAAUAAAAACGAAAACAUUUAAAAGACAUCUUGAGAUAAGUAAAUUUAUUCCAGUUUUAUGUUUGCACAAUAAUUAAAAAAAAUAUCGGUUUUAUGCGUACUGCAGGUCUUUCGCGCGCUUUAAUAUUUACAUGUCGUCUUUGCAUGCUACUUUGGUCACCGUGCACAAUCUCAAUAUCAUAAUUUAAAACUUUUUAAUUAAUGUCUUUUACCGAAUAUACAUUAUGCAUGAGUAUCUCUUCCAAUGUAAUAUUUUUGCAAAAUAGUGUGAAAUAAAUUGAACUUGAACUUGCGUGUAUUUUUGCCACUCUGAGUAACUCCAUAUUAUUGUACAUCCGAUCAUUUGUUUCCACCACCCGCUGAAGGGCGGGCAAACCCACGGGUAUUUGACAUUUUGUAAAUUUGUUGUCAAAUUCCCCACCCAUGGAACAGGACUGAGUCAAAAUACUCGCGGGAAGGGUAGGAGUUGUUAACAAUUACAUGGUAUUUACAUGGUCCGGCCAUAUAAUUCGAAACAUUUAUAGGGAAGCCUCACAUAUCGAUUUUGUCCAUGAGAAACGUCAUAUGGACGUUUCUCUGGAGACCCGCCCCUCACCCCACGUUUAGAAACGUCACACAUAGUUAUCGAUAUUUUGUUGUUAUAGUACACAUAAGGUAAUUUCCUACUAUUUUCUACGGUCGGCUAUUGGCGAUGCUUCUGCGAGGAAUAUAUAAUUAUCACCUUCUGCUGACAUAUCUUUUUUUUUAUUAAUAUAUAUAUAUAUUCCAACGUUUCUCAAAACAACAUUUUUUCUUCAAAUUUGAGUGUUUUCAAUGCAAGGAAGGCGUAAUAAUGUAAAUGUAUAUAAAUAGAACAGGUAUGGUAUUACUAAUGUAUAGACUGGAGUUUGUAUCAAGUUGUUUUCUUUUUUAUAUUCUGAAAAGAUGAUUCCGAAAUGUUAAAGCUUUCGAAAAAACUAUCGAAUUUUUCCGUGAUGUUUACAGAGAAACGUCACAGCUGCAAACCCCCCUCCCCAAACGAACAUCUGACGUUUCUUGUGGAAAAAAUCGAUAUGUGAGGCUUCCCCUUAGUCGUACGCGAUAAAAAAUAUUGUGUCACACACAAUGUCAAUGAAAACAUGUUCUAAUUAAAGGGUAAGAAAACCUAACUUUUGAAUAUCUCUCCCACAUCUGAAAGGUUUGUUUCCUUAAAAAUAUCUCUAUUUCAGCACUUGAACUGUUAUCCAUAUUGGAAACGACUUAUUUUGAAAAAUGUCCAGCAUGAAGUCGUGAAACGUCGAGAUAACGUUGCCCGCCCCAUGUCUCCCGCCGAGAUGUCCAAAACACAACUUUGCCAAUUGCCCGUCUCUCAGGCCACAAUUUGUUGUUAAAUACCCGUCUCCAGGGUGAGAAUUUGUUGUCAAAUCCUCCAGGGGGGGGGGGGCAAAUUAUAGGUGCAUUAACAGAACAUUAACGGUUGCGAGUAGAUAUGGAUUUAUGUUCUCUUGUCAAAAACAAUAUCUCACUCCUUCGCGAUAUUGAUUUUGCCACUCGAACAUAAAAUCCAUAUCUCAUCGCAAUAGUUUACGGUUGAGGUAUUAAUUGAGCGGAAAGUCCUGUUCCUCAUCCCAGUCACGUACGUUUUCUUGUAACAUCACAAAUUGUAACCGGAGCAGGAGGCAAGCUGCAAACCUUUGGCUUUGUUAUCUCUUAUCAUUCUGGUUCAAUUUGCUGUUAUGCCUGUCACGGGUUACUUAUGGUUAGCACUAUUUUCCAUCCAGCCAACCGCCCUAUCGAUUUUCUAAAGUCGUUUCUUUUUGGAUUUUUUUUUAUAAAUUCGGUUAGGGUUAUGGGUUAGAGUAGGGGUAGGGUUUGGGUUAGUAACAUAGCCAUUGAACAAAAUGACGUCAGGUCAGUUUGCUGGAAGGAAAAUAGUGCUAACCAGUGCUAUACACGACGCCAUAUCUAAACUAGACCGGCUAUAUAUGCAUUGUUUUUGACACAAAAACAUAAAUCCAUAUCUACUCGCAACCGCGUAAUGUUCUGUUUAUUAUAUGGACUUAAAAUACUUAUUAAAAAUUCAUAAACCUUGUGGCAAAUCAUGUCAGCCAUAAUAGGUCACAAGGAGUGACUUUAUAUCUGAUAAAACUCAUCUUCAUCAGUAUUCUUUAUAUAAUUGUUCAUCCUAAUUAGUAUGAUUAGGAAUGGACCAUUAGAAAAGUGAUGGGGGGGGAGAGCAAAAACCAAAAAAAAUUAUUCCCAGGAAAAAAUUAGGGGGGAAAAUCUUUCCAGGCAUAGUGCAAAAAAAAUUCCUUGCUUGGAAGAUGGGCCUAUAAAUUUCACUAAAAAAAUACAUUUCUUCUAUAGGUGUACAAAAAAAAUAUUGCCUCUUAAAAAUCCCCCAUUAGAAAAGUGAUGAGUGAUGACUCAUCAUUAGAAAAGUGAUGAGUGAUGACUCAUCACUUUUCUAAUGGUCCGUCCCUUAUAUAAUUGUUCAUCCUAAUUAGCAUUCUUUUGUAGUCGUAUUUUAAGCUAUUCAAAACACUCAAAUUCGCGUUUUAUCAUAUCUAAAACGCUCGGCUGCGCCUCGCCUUUUAAAUAUGAUAAAACACUCCUUCUCGUGUUUUAAAUACUACUUAUUCAGAGUGACAAAGACGGCAUGUGACCACAUGCAAAUAAGCGGGCGAAAGACGUCCAGUAUAAAAGCCAUAUUUUUAAAAAAGUAUAGUACAAACAUAAAACUAGCACUAGAAAAUACAUGCAUGCAGAAACCCUCGCCUUGCUGACAAAACCAUUGUAUUUUCCGAACAUGAAGUAUUUAAAGUAGUUGUCAUGGCAACACGAUAAUUUUUUAAGAAUAUUCUUACAAAUGAAAAAUCGCCUAAAACUGUCACUUUUAAUUACAAAAUUAUCAAUUUCCCAACAUAUAUAUGUUAGGUAUGUUAUUAUACGUAAUAUAAGCUUCAAUUUAAGGUAAAAUUCAACCGCAAACGCUUCGCAAAACGUUUUAAAGUGUUCUUUAUAAAACUAAACUGCCUUUAAUUAAAUCGAUAAAUGGCUUUAUCCAUAAACUUUGAGUUUGCAAUGAAAUGAUUUCAAAUUCUCGCAUGCAAAUAAAUUUACUUUUUUCUUUUUUUAUUUAAAAAAUUCAAUAUAAUAAUAAAGGAAAUCAAAAGAUUAAUAAAGAUAAAAUAAAGAUAUAUUAAAGAUACACUGAAAUAGUUAUAUGCUGUCUUGUUUAGUUGUUUCAUAUACGCAAAGGCCGUCGGGUUUUAAAGCAAUUAUAAAAUCAAUAUUUAAAACAAACUUACCUUCGUUAACGUAGGCUUCCUUCUUUUAGCCGAUUCUUUCGCCCUUUCUUUCUUUCUGAAAAUGCGUUUGAAAUUUACGAAAUCUUGCAGAAAUGCGAGCAAAAAUGAAAUAUAUUUGCAAGAAAUUUAUCAAUCAUCAAAUCAAGAAAUGUUCGCUAUUUCGCUGUCGUCAUGCAUGCAGUCGUUAUAAUGCAAAUUUUAAAUUGGACCAAUCAGUGUCCGCUAUUCAUGACAGUCCGCCAUAUUUUUGAGAUCAGUGAGGAUGACCACACACCCAACACUCGAACACCGUUGGUGACCCACGCCCACGAUCAUUGAUGAACUUUAGACUUCGCUAAUGCUUUCGUUUCCCCGGGUGUAAAUAGCCGGGGGGAAUUAGUAUCCUCGCACGGUGCUUCGCGCCGUCGGCUCGGGGAUAAAUUUUACUUAUCUCAAGAUCUCUUUUAAAUGUUUUUGUUUUAUUUCCAAUGUUAAUUUCGUUUUAUAUACCAACCAAAGACCAUUUGUACUUUCAAAACAACAACAAUGAAAAUGGCGGGAAAUUUUCGAACUUCGUAUAGUUCGUAACUUUGUAUAUCACUCGCAAGCGUGAAAUACGGAAAAUACGAGCAUUUGGUCCCAGAUGUAGUGGCAUAUGAGUUCUAUGAGUGUUUUAGUUUCCAGUAAAACACCAUUGUCCAUAUAAUAAAGAAUAGUGAGUUUAUCGGCGUACAAUGUACAAUUCGAGCAGCAUCGUCAUUUAAAGUCCGUUCUGCGCAUUAAUUUUGCUCGUAACAAAGGGGGACCCACAGCUAUAAACAUUGCCCAAAUUUUGCAUCUUUCGAACUUUUUUGAAUUCAGACGUAGAGUUUAUAUAUAUAAUCAUUUGCAAGCAUAGCGAACCCGAGAAGUGUUAAUUAUUCAGUUUAUAUAUCAUGCAUAUUAGUUAUAAAAAUACAGCAGUUCAAAAUCUAAACAAAGGCUCAAAGCAUUUGUUUACAUUACGG
rnacentral:lncRNA from 1 species